UGGGGAAUAUUGCACAAUGGGCGCAAGCCUGAUGCAGCCAUGCCGCGUGUGUGAAGAAGGCCUUCGGGUUGUAAAGUACUUUCAGCGGGGAGGAAGGGAGUAAAGUUAAUACCUUUGCUCAUUGACGUUACCCGCAGAAGAAGCACCGGCUAACUCCGUGCCAGCAGCCGCGGUAAUACGUAGGUGGCAAGCGUUGUCCGGAUUUAUUGGGCGUAAAGCGAGCGCAGGCGGUUUCUUAAGUCUGAUGUGAAAGCCCCCGGCUCAACCGGGGAGGGUCAUUGGAAACUGGGAGACUUGAGUGCAGAAGAGGAGAGUGGAAUUCCAUGUGUAGCGGUGAAAUGCGUAGAUAUAUGGAGGAACACCAGUGGCGAAGGCGGCUCUCUGGUCUGUAACUGACGCUGAGGCUCGAAAGCGUGGGGAGCAAACAGG
rnacentral:rRNA from 1 species